rnacentral:lncRNA from 1 species
UCAGCUGUCUACUACUGCAGUUCAUACAAUGUUGCAGGAACCUAUUCGGCAGGUUACUCUAUUUUCAAACCACAUCUUAAUUCAACUCAAGUAAAAAGUAGGUCUCAAAGAUGAUUGAUAUCCCAGUACACAACCUUUGUACGAGGUUGAUUACAUUUGCCAAUCAUUCAAGUUUGAAACCAUAUCCUAGGAACAGAACAAAUAUCGAACAUACACCGCCGAAAUCGGAUCGGGAAUGCCGCCAGCCGCCGCCACUGCUGCCGCCGACCCAAACGAAUCACGAGUCCGCUCGGCUCGCUGAGGACAAAUGGCGAGAGGGAGAGAAGAAGCCGCAUCUGUUGCCGAUUGAAUCGGAUCGGGGGCGACGACUGAGGGAGCAGCUGCUGCCGUCCGGCUGCUCUCGCGCGAGGCAGUCCAAAUGCCGAGAGGGAGAGAACAGGAUGGAGGAAAACGGCAAGGGGGAGAAC